AGAGUUUGAUCCUGGCUCAGAUUGAACGCUGGCGGUAUGCUUAACACAUGCAAGUCGAACGGAAACGAAACUAGCUUGCUAGUAGGCGUCGAGUGGCGGACGGGUGAGUAACGCGUAGGAAUCUGCCUGAUAGUGGGGGAUAGCCCGAAGAAAUUCGGAUUAAUACCGCAUAAUCUAUUCGUAGUAAAGUGGGGGACUUUCGAGCCUCACGCUAUCAGAUGAGCCUGCGUAAGAUUAGCUUGUUGGUAGGGUAAAAGCCUACCAAGGCAACGAUCUUUAGCUGGUCUGAGAGGAUGAUCAGCCACAUCGGGACUGAGACACGGCCCGAACUCCUACGGGAGGCAGCAGUGGGGAAUAUUGGACAAUGGGGGCAACCCUGAUCCAGCAAUACCGCGUGUGUGAAGAAGGCCUGAGGGUUGUAAAGCACUUUCAAUUGUGAAGAAAAGUCAAUGGUUAAUAACCGUUGACCUUGACGUUAACUUUAGAAGAAGCACCGGCUAACUCCGUGCCAGCAGCCGCGGUAAUACGGAGGGUGCAAGCGUUAAUCGGAAUUACUGGGCGUAAAGCGUGCGUAGGCGGUUUAUUAAGUCAGAUGUGAAAGCCCCGGGCUUAACCUGGGAACUGCAUUUGAAACUGGUCAACUAGAGUAUGGUAGAGGAAAGUGGAAUUUCUGGUGUAGCGGUGAAAUGCGUAGAUAUCAGAAGGAACAUCAAUGGCGAAGGCAGCUUUCUGGACCAAUACUGACGCUGAGGUACGAAAGCGUGGGUAGCAAACAGGAUUAGAUACCCUGGUAGUCACGCCGUAAACGAUGAUAACUAGCCGUUGGGGGGAUUUACCCCUUAGUGGCGAAGCUAACGCGUUAAGUUAUCCGCCUGGGGAGUACGGCCGCAAGGCUAAAACUCAAAGGAAUUGACGGGGACCCGCACAAGCGGUGGAGCAUGUGGUUUAAUUCGAUGCAACGCGAAGAACCUUACCUGGUCUUGACAUCCUGCGAACUUUCUAGAAAUAGAUUGGUGCCUUCGGGAACGCAGUGACAGGUGCUGCAUGGCUGUCGUCAGCUCGUGUCGUGAGAUGUUGGGUUAAGUCCCGUAACGAGCGCAACCCCUAUCCUUAUUUGCCAGCACAUUAUGGUGGGAACUAUAAGGAGACUGCCGGUGAUAAACCGGAGGAAGGCGGGGACGACGUCAAGUCAUCAUGGCCCUUACGACCAGGGCUACACACGUGCUACAAUGGGAAGGACAAAGAGCCGCGAAGCCGCGAGGUGUAGCUAAUCUCAUAAAUCUUUUCGUAGUCCGGAUUGGAGUCUGCAACUCGACUCCAUGAAGUCGGAAUCGCUAGUAAUCGUAGAUCAGAAUGCUACGGUGAAUACGUUCCCGGGUCUUGUACACACCGCCCGUCAUACCAUGGGAGUGGGUUGCACCAGAAGUGGCUAGUCUAACUUUGUGAGGACGGUCACCACGGUGUGAUUCAUGACUGGGGUAAAGUCGUAACAAGGUAACC
rnacentral:rRNA from 1 species